GGAUUAGGGUUCGGUGUGACCUUUGGCCUCUUUCAGAACUUCGCUCUCCCUCUUUCAAGCGACGGCGGCGAGGUCCCCCCCUCGAUACUCCGACCAAGAUUCCAACGGCGCCAUCACCGUCCUCACCUAUCUUCUUUCGAACUCUCCGUCUCCGUCUCGUGAAACUACGACUUCCUCUGUUCUCUUUUCCGUUCAAGAUGCGUGACCGUUGUUGUGCUCUUCUGUUGAGAACGCGUUGUUGUUGUUCGCAGUGAAGGCAAUGAGGAAUUAUGGCUAUAGGAAGCGAUGAUGUUGAAUCGUGGUAGAGAAUUGAAGUCAAUUUCGAAGGUUUGCGAGAGAUGCUGCAGAAUUCCUGAUGAUAGAUGAUGAAGAUUGUGUGGCGCUCAGAGUUGAACCGUGGAGUGAUGACGAUUUGAGAUGUAGAUUUUGAGAAGUUGUGGUGGUGGAUUGAAGGUUGUUGAAGUGCGAAGAUGAGGAGGUUGAUCGUGGAGAUGAAACGAUGAUGGUGAUGUUGCGGUUAAAGGAUGAAGAUGAUGAUUCGGAGAGAGUGGAGAGAAUUGGAUGAUGAAGAUGGUGGAGGAUUGAAGAAUGGAAGAGGAAUCCCUGAAUAAUUGUGGAGAUGUUGAAUAUAUAGGGACUGUUUUGGUAAAGAGUAUGUAUGAAUGGUGAUGGAUUUAUGAUGCUUCGAUUGUAUAGGGACUGAUCUUGAAUGACUCUUUUUUCAUUCUGCAGUGUGUAUUGCUACUGUUGUGAAUAUAAACUUUACUGCUUCUGGAUGAUUAGGCUAUAUGAAUGCGGUAGGUUUCAAGUUGCCGAACCGGGCUUCUCAUGGCUUCUUUGCAGCAGGUGGAGUUAUGGUUGGAGGAUGGUGUUUGUGACGUGAAGACGGUUGGAGUAACAGGCUGCGACGGUCACCCUUGGAGCUUGACGAAAGUGAGACGGUUUGGAAGACAUGAUGUAAUAGGUUUAGGAUUUUUGUGUAAUUCACUUUUUGUGACAAAUUGUAUGGACAUGUAUUGUAAUGGAUUCGGUGAACACUAGAAUGAAGCCUCUUUUUUUUUUUUGUAAUAUGGCUUGUAAUGGAAUUGUAAAACUUAAUGAGACGAACUCUAGUAUUUUUGUAGUUUUCAAUGGAAUAUGCAGUGUGACUUUUGGUCC